CCUGUGCACCGCCGGCUCCCCUCAGCAGGCCCGGUUCUAAGGACAGGCCCUGCCUCAGGCUCACUCAGAGCAGCAGGGAAGGCACGGUCACCUGAUUCCAGUUCUUCUCUCUGGGGAUGGGGGAAUGUUGGUCAUGGAUGUGCCUUUGGGAGCGAACGGUCCCCUCCGCUGGGCCCCAGGGAGUGUCCACAGCACCUAGGCUGCCCCGGAUGCAUCGCCGAGCACCGUGAGGACCUGGCGUGUGUUUAUGUGUAUUUUCAUCAGAACUUUGCCUGUAGCUUCCUGGCCUUGCAGUCACAUCCUCUCCUAAACCUAAACCCCACCCAGGCACCCACCCCUUCCCUAGGCGGGCGGGCGGGCAGUGGUGGUUCUUGCCCCGCCUGCCCCAGCUCUUCCUGUAGCUCUGAGUCAAGCGGCUCCUUCCUCUGGGGCCCACCCCAACCAACCCAGGCAUGGCAUUUUCCUCUGUGCAGUGUGUGUGUGUGUGUGUGUGUGUGUGUGUGUGUGUGUGUGUGUAUGUUGGGGGCUGGGAGGGUGCUCAAAGGGGCAGGUUCCAGGGAUAAUGGGGCGUCCUCCUGGCACGGAGAACGCAGCCAGGGCCAUUGUGCAUGUACGCGGGGGGGACGGGGCUGCGCCGUCUGCAUUGUGCUUCCCAGUCAGCACUAGGGGUCACAUUCAGGAGCCAAGGGGCCAGCUGCUUUGCUCCCCCAUGCGUCUCUGACCUCUGACCCCAGGGGACAGGGCCUUUCCGGAACUUCAAGCCAACCCCGGGGCUCCAACAGGGUUCUCUGGCCCUCUUCCUGUCCCUGUUCCGGGCAGGGGCCCCCAGGGGAUGAGCAGUCUGGACCUUCCCUUCAGGCUGGGGUGCUAAGGGCAGUGCGCCCUUUUCCAGAUAAGGAGCAAACACAGCUGGCCAAGGCUCCUGGCUCAGAGCAGAUGGGGGCAGACGGCCUCUCCGUUGUCACCACACGGACACCCCCAGGCUGACCUCGGACUGGAGACCCAGUGACUGCUGGCUGGUACUGCCCACGGAAUCGGGUCUCCUUUGGCCCCUGGCCCUGCCCUCAGCCGCUUGGGGCUGGGAAUCUCAGUCCCAGCCUGGCCCUGGCGGCCUCGCACUGCCCACCACGCUCUGCCGGGCACCCUGAGGGUCUCAGAAAGCGCCAGCUCCUCCCACCCUCAGACCCAACCAGCGUCCUCGGUGCGCGCAGCGCCCUGCAGCUUGAGCGCGACUCCCGCGCAGCCCGAACGCGCCGCCGCUCCGCUCCCGGUGCGCGCUGGGCCCCGCGCGCCUGCCCUGAAGCGGGAACCUGCGCAGGAGGCAGCGGCCCCGCAGGCCGAGGGCCGCAUCUCGCUCCCCUUCCCGGCCCCUUCAGGUCUGGAAGGGGCCAGGACGCGGGCGAGCUCGGGCUUCCGGGCGACGCGGGAGCCUCCCUGGCUCCGAGCCGCUUCCUGAGAGACCGCGCCCAGGGACAAGCAGCGCCGCGGCCCCCGACUCCAGGCCUGGAGCGGCCCUGGGAGGACAGCGGCCUCCACUCACCUUCGCGGGUCUGAUGGCACCGCCACUCACCUGCUGCCUGGACCUGGGGCUCGCGCGGGGCGGGGGAGGGGCAGCUCACCUGAGCCAGGUGCGCAGCGGCGACGGCCCCGGCGGCGGCAGCAGACGCUGGUACUUUAUCUCCAGAACCCUGUUCUUCACCGACUGCGGGACGUCAGGCACGAACCAGGCGGCAAUGAGUUUGAUGCACAAGGCCACGUGCUAGGAGCAGCGCAGGAGAGGCCCAGCACUAUCAGGUGCCAGCAGGCAUCUGGGCGCUCGGGGCCGGGGAGGAGGACUGGAGAGAAAACUGCCCUAACCCACUCCGUGGCCUCUCCCGGUUCUGCCUCACCUCAAAGAGGAUGACGAAGGCCAGGCGGAUGGCCAGAAGGAACCAGAACUUCCUGGUGAGGGUGUAAUGGUGGGGAUGGCGGUAGUCCCUGUACCUGCGGAGAGGGAGCACCCGAGGUCAGGGGUCAGGAGUUCAGAGGGCAUUCGUGGGGGAAGGGGAGUUCCAAACCUGCAGUGAGUCACGUUUUCUGAGCCCUCAAUCCCAUCAGGGUCCUGGAAGUCCUUGGUGUAGAAGACAGACAGGCUGUGGUUGACAUAGCCCGUGAGGCAGCUGGGGAGGGGGAGAGGAGUGUGGGCGGGGGUGGGCUUCCAGGCCGCCCCUCCAGGCCCCAGGGUGCUUCUAGCCUGCGUUAUGGAGGCCACACCACAGACAGCCACCAGUGGGACGGGCCCCCGGGCCAAGCACAUCUUCACAUCCAGGGGGCUUGAGGGCCUGCGGGGACUCUGGACAUCACCAGCCGCCUUCCCUGCCAAGGACUGACCCUGGAGACCCAGUCUGCGGCCUGGUGGCUCUUUGACGUCAGAGAAGCCAGCUCCAGGGCCACGGAAUUCACUGGGAAGUCCCCAGCUCCCCGCAGAGCAUGGCCUCAGCUCUCCUGCACCCUCACCCUGAGGUGGACAUCGAGGGACCCAGGAAGCCUCACCCCUCCACCUUCCUGAACUUCUCAGCUGCCCCCAAGCCCCUGUACCUCCUGGGUUCCCACCCCAGGGCAGGACCUCACAACCCGGGCUCAAGACUGGGGGCCUCCCCAGGACCCCACCCGCAUUCCCCAUGUCCAGCGCCCCAGCCCUGGUCACUCCCCUGCUAGCUACCCCCUCAGUGUGGCCUAUCUUGGGACACAGGCCAGCUGUUCUGUUCCUGCCCCAGCCACUGGCAGCAUCUGGGUCCCCCUUGGGGGCAUCAAGCCCCUCUGAGAUCCUGACGGUUUGUGGAAGGGCCCUGCCCACUCCUGGGACCCUCCCCCCGACCCAGGCUCAACCCGCAUCCCAGGCCUCUGGAGAAGGGCUGGGUCUGUCCACGGGGUGAGAUCGGAAAGAUUAUUUCAAGGAGAGCCCGGGGGCCAGAGGGAGGUCCACAGGCUGAGCUCGGUUCCCGCCCAUCCCGCGGCCGUCGGGCCUGACCGAUGUCCUUGGCUUUGCGGGGCACCAGGCGCCGCUGCAGCCGGACCAUCUUGAUGGCGUCCAGGCGGAUCUCCACGAGGUUGCUGAAGAGUGCGAGCAGCGGCGCCAGCGGGAAGGCGGCCACGAAGAUGGUGGUGAAGCCGUACUGGAUCACUGCGGGGUGGGGGUCACGCUCGUGGGCGCCCCACGAUCGGCUCCGGGGACCCCGCCCCCAGGGCCCACGCACCCGUCCCGGGGACCCCGCCG